UUGGUCUUUCUUGAUAAACUACCCCCAGGCUUGGGUAGAAAAACAUCAGGGGUCCUCUGUUUUUUCGACCUUUCUCCCAAAAUAAUCAAUAAGUGCAGGUUGUCAAGCGUACUGAACAAUGUGGCAGUAGAGAGGAUAUUUCAUACACUCAGCCCUCUUUUCCCAGCUGGAAAACCAAAACCAGGAGAGGCCUAAGGAUCCCCUCAGAAGAUUUCUGAAGGGCCCUGUGUUGCAGCAGUCUUCUACAUCAAGCUCAAAAGGACAAAACUAUUUGUUUCGCCAUCACACCAGCAGGCCAUUCCCUGAGAUGAGCUGCUUCCAUCAAAGGCAACAGCGCCUGCAGAAACAGAAUUAACUUAACUUCACUAGCCUCUAAUCACAGAAGGAUUAGGUAAUUCUAUCUGUUCAAAGUGGAUAAACAGUUUCAAUUGCCUACCAUGGUCCCAGUAUUCUGAGUGCUGUGUAACUGUGUCUAAGAAAUGGUCUUCACCAAGGGCUUCACAAUACAGAGGAAUAAGAAAAAUAAAGAAUAAGAGGAACCGAUGUAAUUACAUUCCUGGUUGAGAUAAGGAGCUGAGAUACUUCCUGACUCAGGAAGCAGCUUAUAUCUCAGGAAGUGGGUGAGUGCUUGUUUAAGUUCUGUUAGAGUCUGUGGACCCUGAGAAUGUAUGUAAAAACUUUUUAACUGCUGCCUUCACCAACAGCACUGUGAAUUAUCUCAGGUAACAGAAGGGCAAUGUGGCUGUGUU